rnacentral:lncRNA from 1 species
UAAAACAUAAUAAAGAUGAGUUAUAAUAUUAAUAAAAGUAGUUAAUUUUAAUAUUAAAAAUUUUUUGGUAAAAAAAAUAAUAAUUAAAAAUCGGGUCAACUGGGUCAAUUAACCGGGUUUACCGAUUGGACUGGUGGUCGGGUUUUGACCAAAACCGAGUCACCGGGCUAAAUCAGACCAGAAUGCGAACCAGUUCUGAUUUUUAUCGGUCCGACCGCAUGUCUGGUCCGGUUCAGGUUUUAAAACAUUGGUUACUACUCCCUCCAUUCCUAUUAGGGUUAAAUAAACUUAUGUCCCUCGAAGUAUGACCCAUUUUAUACUUGUGACCCUAAUGUUUAAAACCUCACAUUAUCAUACUCGAAGUGCACUUAAGUAAACAAAAGUGACCCUAAAUUCAUUUCCGAUCAAAAAACUGCCCGAGUGCUGACAUGUCACCAGA